rnacentral:lncRNA from 1 species
AAUGAUAAGAGUUAAACAAUUUUAAUGAGAUGACUAUCAAUAGGGACACCGUGGCCAAAACGCGAAAAAUACUAACAUAAAAUAGACACUUGACUUAGAUAAAGCCUUGCUCCAAAUGUUUGAUUACGACAUAAAAAGCCGCUAUAAACCUCAAGCAUUAAUGUGUUGAUCGAGGUAAAAAUAUCGUCAAUCAACUUGAGAAGGUCGAAAAUGGAUUUGCAGCUAAAAUAGAGAUAUCUUAUAAAAUAGACACUCAUAAUCUAACUUUCGAUGAAGUAAUUGAAGCACAUCUUAAUGAUCUCGUAGGGUUGAACAACGAGGAAUGUUUCGACAUCAACAUCAACAUCAAUCUAAUAAAUGAUGAUCUCAAAGAAUUCAUUAUAGGGACGUCUGAUGGAUUUCAAGGCUCUGAAACAAGUUCAAUGUCAAUAAUGCCAACAGAGUUCAAUGCUAAAUGUGCAGAUAUUUCCAACGACAUGUAAUUAAAAUAUUUGAGUGCAGGUUGGAUACUCGUGGAGGAAAAUAUGAUAAUCGUAUGUGUCAAUCGGAUUAGACUGAGCGACUAAAGAACAAAGGGAACAUUUACGUCCACCCAAAUAGGUGCUCAUAAACAGUGGAGUGCCAGUGAACAUAAUUGCAAGAACCAUAUUCAAAGGAGGGAUCAAAUUUAAUGACCAAUAAUCUGGCCAUAGUUGAUUUCUAUGGCUUCAGUUAAAUAAAAUAGAUUUAUAUGGCUUCAGUUAAAUAAAAUAGAUUUAUAUGGCAAAGCGUCCCUAAUAAAUGAAAUAGCCAUGUUAAAUUUGAAAGCAGACUUGUGAAAAGAAAAACUAGAGUGAUCUUUUAGAAGUUUCCUAAAAAGUAUAUGAGUGGUGACAAACACAUACUAAAGAGACUUGUAUUAG